GGCCGCAGUAUUUUGACUGUGCAAAGGUAGCAUAAUCAUUAGUCUUUUAAUUAAGGGCUUGUAUGAAUGGUUGGACGAGGUGAAUUCUGUUUUAUGUUAAUUUAAUUGAAAUUAGUUUUUAAGUAAAAAAACUUAAAUAUUAUUAAGGGACGAGAAGACCCUAUAGAGUUUAAUAUAUGUAAUAAAUAAUUAAGUUAGAAUAUAAUUUUUAAUUAUUAUGGAAUUUAUUUAAUUGGGGUGAUUUAAAAAUAAGAAUAACUUUUUUUUAUAAUUAAUAAUAUAAUUAGCUACAUGAUCCAAAUAUAAUGAUUAAAAGAUUAAAUUACCUUAGGGAUAACAGCAUAA
rnacentral:rRNA from 1 species